rnacentral:rRNA from 1 species
AUGCACGCUGACAGAAUGCUUAACACAUGCAAGUCAACUUGAACUUCGGUUUGGGUGGCGGACGGGUGAGUAACGCGUAAAGAACUUGCCUCACAGUUAGGGACAACAUUUGGAAACGAAUGCUAAUACCUGAUAUUAUGAUUUUAGGGCAUCCUAGAAUUAUGAAAGCUAUAUGCGCUGUGAGAGAGCUUUGCGUCCCAUUAGCUAGUUGGAGAGGUAACGGCUCACCAAGGCGAUGAUGGGUAGCCGGCCUGAGAGGGUGAACGGCCACAAGGGGACUGAGACACGGCCCUUACUCCUACGGGAGGCAACAGUGGGGAAUAUUGGACAAUGGACCAAGAGUCUGAUCCAGCAAUUCUGUGUGCACGAUGAAGUUUUUCGGAAUGUAAAGUGCUUUCAGUUGGGAAGAAAAAAAUGACGAUACCAACAGAAGAAGUGACGGCUAAAUACGUG